rnacentral:rRNA from 1 species
GACGAACGCUGGCGGCGUGCUUAACACAUGCAAGUCGAACGGAAAGGCCCCUUCGGGGGUGCUCGAGUGGCGAACGGGUGAGUAACACGUGGGUGAUCUGCCCUGCACUUCGGGAUAAGCUUGGGAAACUGGGUCUAAUACCGGAUAUACCUCAUGGGAUGCAUGUUUUGUGGGGGAAAGCUUUUGCGGUGUGGGAUGGGCCCGCGGCCUAUCAGCUUGUUGGUGGGGUGAUGGCCUACCAAGGCAUCGACGGGUAGCCGGCCUGAGAGGGUGUCCGGCCACACUGGGACUGAGAUACGGCCCAGACUCCUACGGGAGGCAGCAGUGGGGAAUAUUGCACAAUGGGCGCAAGCCUGAUGCAGCGACGCCGCGUGGGGAUGACGGCCUGG